UGACGCUGAGGCUCGAAAGCGUGGGGAGCGAACAGGAUUAGAUACCCUGGUAGUCCACGCCGUAAACGAUGAAUGCUAGGUGUAGGAGGUAUCGACCCCUUCUGUGCCGGAGUUAACGCAAUAAGCAUUCCGCCUGGGGAGUACGGUCGCAAGACUGAAACUCAAAGGAAUUGACGGGGGCCCGCACAAGCGGUGGAGUAUGUGGUUUAAUUCGACGCAACGCGAAGAACCUUACCAGGGCUUGACAUUGAGUGAAAGAUCUAGAGAUAGAUCCCUCUCUUCGGAGACACGAAAACAGGUGGUGCAUGGCUGUCGUCAGUUCGUGUCGUGAGAUGUUGGGUUAAGUUCCGCAACGAGCGCAACCCCUAUCAUUUGUUGCCAGCACGUCAAGGUGGGAACUCAAAUGAGACUGCCGCGGACAACGCGGAGGAAGGCGGGGAUGACGUCAAGUCAUCAUGCCCCUUAUGUCCUGGGCUACACACGUACUACAAUGGGAUGGACAGAGAGCAGCGACCCCGCGAGGGCAAGCGAACCCCAUAAACCAUCUCCCAGUUCGGAUUGCAGGCUGCAACCCGCCUGCAUGAAGUCGGAAUCGCUAGUA
rnacentral:rRNA from 1 species